AUUGAACGCUGGCGGCAGGCUUAACACAUGCAAGUCGAGCGGAGAUGAGGUGCUUGCACCUUAUCUUAGCGGCGGACGGGUGAGUAAUGCUUAGGAAUCUGCCUAUUAGUGGGGGACGACAUUCCGAAAGAAAUGCUAAUACCGCAUACGUCCUACGGGAGAAAGCAGGGGACCUUCGGGCCUUGCGCUAAUAGAUGAGCCUAAGUCGGAUUAGCUAGUUGGUGGGGUAAAGGCCUACCAAGGCGACGAUCUGUAGCGGGUCUGAGAGGAUGAUCCGCCACACUGGGACUGAGACACGGCCCAGACUCCUACGGGAGGCAGCAGUGGGGAAUAUUGGACAAUGGGCGGAAGCCUGAUCCAGCCAUGCCGCGUGUGUGAAGAAGGCCUUUUGGUUGUAAAGCACUUUAAGCGAGGAGGAGGCUACUUAGAUUAAUACUCUAGGAUAGUGGACGUUACUCGCAGAAUAAGCACCGGCUAACUCUGUGCCAGCCGCCGCAGUAAAAC
rnacentral:rRNA from 1 species